rnacentral:rRNA from 1 species
UCCGUAGGUGAACCUGCGGAGGGAUCAUUACAGAGUUUCGUGCCCUGUGGGGUAGAUCUCCCACCCGUGAAAUCUCACACCUAUGUUGCUUUGGCGGGCCGCGAGCCCCUCGCUGCCGGAAGGUAGGCGCCCGCCAGAGGCCCAAACCCAGUGUUAAGUGUCGUCAGAGUACUAUAGAAUAGUUAAAACUUUCAACAACGGAUCUCUUGGUUCUGGCAUCGAUGAAGAACGCAGCGAAAUGCGAUAAGUAAUGUGAAUUGCAGAAUUUAGUGAAUCAUCGAAUCUUUGAACGCACAUUGCGCCCUAUGGCAUUCCGUAGGGCAUGCCUGUUCGAGCGUCAUUACAACCCUCAAGCUCUGCUUGGUAUUGGGCCUCGCCGCUCGGCGGGCCUCAAACAUAGUGGCGGUGCUUCCGGGCCCUGAGCGUAGUACAUCUUCCGCUACAGCAGCCUGGGAGCCACCUGCCAACAACUCCUAUUUUUCAAGGUUGACCUCGGAUCAGGUAGGGAUACCCGCUGAACUUAAGCAUAUCAAUAAGCGGAGGA